AAAAGUUUCCGCGGGAGCCGCACGGAACAGGAUGCGGCUGAGAGGCAUAUUCGCCGACCGCUUACCUGAUGCGGGUCAUGCCGUCGGAGGGAGGACAUACUGUGGUCAC
rnacentral:ncRNA from 2 species